rnacentral:rRNA from 2 species
GUGGCAUGUGUUAUUCGAAGCAACGCGAAGAACCUACCAGGUCUUGACAUCCUCUGACAACCCUAGAGAUAGGGCUUCUCCUUCGGGAGCAGAGUGACAGGUGGUGCAUGGUGUCGUCAGCUCGUGUCGUGAGAUGUUGGGAUAAGUCCCGCAACGAGCGCAACCCUUGAUCUUAGUUGCCAUCAUUUAGUUGGGCACUCUAAGGUGACUGCCGGUGACAAACCGGAGGAAGGUGGGGAUGACGUCAAAUCAUCAUGCCCCUUAUGACCUGGGCUACACACGUGCUACAAAUGGACGGUACAGAGAGCUGCAAGACCGCGAAGGUAAAGCUAAUUCUUCAUAGGACCGUCUCGGUUCGAAGAAGCUCGACUUCGCCUAACGUGAGAGCUGAGAUCGCUAGUGACGGAACAGCGCGUACGCCAA